rnacentral:misc_RNA from 1 species
GAUGAAGAACGUAGCGAAAUGCGAUAAGUAAUGUGAAUUGCAGAAUUCAGUGAAUCAUCGAAUCUUUGAACGCACAUUGCGCCCGUCAGUAUUCUGGCGGGCAUGCCUGUUCGAGCGUCAUUACGCCCCUCAAGUCCCCUGUGGACUUGGUGUUGGGGAUCGGCGAGGCUGGUUUUCCAGCACAGCCGUCCCUUAAAUUAAUUGGCGGUCUCGCCGUGGCCCUCCUCUGCGCAGUAGUAAAACACUCGCAACAGGAGCCCGGCGCGGUCCACUGCCGUAAAACCCCCCAACUUUUUAUAGUUGACCUCGAAUCAGGUAGGACUACCCGCUGAACUUAAGCAUAUCAAUAACCGGAGGA